rnacentral:rRNA from 1 species
GAUGAACGCUGGCGGCGUGCCUAAUACAUGCAAGUCGAGCGAACACACGAGGAUCUUGCUCCUCUGACGUUAGCGACGGACGGGUGAGUAACACGUGGAUAACCUACCUAUAAGACUGGGAUAACUUCGGGAGACCGGAUCUAAUACCGGAUAAUAUAUUGAACCGCAUGGUUCAAUAGUGAAAGACGGUUUUGCUGUCACGUAUAGAUGGAUCCGCGCCGCAUUAGCUAGUUGGUAAGGUAACGGCUUACCAAGGCAACGAUGCGUAGCCGACCUGAGAGGGUGAUCGGCCACACUGGAACUGAGACACGGUCCAGACUCCUACGGGAGGCAGCAGUAGGGAAUCUUCCGCAAUGGGCGAAAGCCUGACGGAGCAACGCCGCGUGAGUGAUGAAGGUCUUCGGAUCGUAAAACUCUGUUAUUAGGGAAGAACAAAUGUGUAAGUAACUAUGCACGUCUUGACGGUACCUAAUCAGAAAGCCACGGCUAACUACGUG